AAGUCGUAACAAGGUCUCCGUAGGUGAACCUGCGGAGGGAUCAUUAACACGUUUUUACAAACGUUUUCCAACACAACCUUAUUUUCAAAUAACGUGAACCUUCUGCGUUAGUCGUUUUCGAUGUUUUGGAUGGAUGCGUGCGUUCGUCCGUCAUUGUUUACGCCUUUCACAGAAAUUUACCUCUUAUUAUUUUUUAAUAACCCCAAUCACAACAUUGUAGCUUGAGCAGAAUUUAAUUAAUUCUGCUGAGGCCCGCUAGUUGACAAGAAUCUUUGCUUUGUUUAAAAAAAAAAAGUUUCGGCUUUCUUUUUUUUCUCAGCAAAAAGUUUAUCCAAACUAAAAGCACAACUCUUAGCAACGGAUAUCUUGGUUCUC
rnacentral:misc_RNA from 1 species